rnacentral:rRNA from 1 species
AUUGAACGCUGGCGGAAUGCUUUACACAUGCAAGUCGGGCGGCAGCACGGGGGCAACCCUGGUGGCGAGCGGCGAACGGGUGAGUAAUACAUCGGAACGUACCCUGUCGUGGGGGAUAACGAAUCGAAAGAUUCGCUAAUACCGCAUACGACCUGAGGGUGAAAGCGGGGGAUCGCAAGACCUCGCGCGAUAGGAGCGGCCGAUGUCGGAUUAGCUAGUUGGUAGGGUAAAGGCCUACCAAGGCGACGAUCCGUAGCGGGUCUGAGAGGACGGCCCGCCACACUGGGACUGAGACACGGCCCAGACUCCUACGGGAGGCAGCAGUGGGGAAUUUUGGACAAUGGGGGCAACCCUGAUCCAGCCAUUCCGCGUGAGUGAAGAAGGCCUUCGGUUGUAAGUACUCUUCGGUCAGGAACGAAACGGUAGGCGUCCUAACUAACGGGCGUACUAAUGACGGUACCGUGAAGAAGAAGACACCGGCGUAACUACGUAGCC